rnacentral:rRNA from 1 species
UACGUAGGGGGCAAGCGUUGUCCGGAAUCAUUGGGCGUAAAGAGCGUGUAGGCGGCCAGAUAAGUCCGCUGUGAAAUCUCGAGGCUCAACUUCGAGCUGUCGGUGGAAACUGUCUGGCUAGAGUCCGGAAGAGGAGAAUGGAAUUCCUGGUGUAGCGGUGAAAUGCGCAGAUAUCAGGAGGAACACCAACGGCGAAGGCAGCACUCUGGGCCGGUACUGACGCUGAGGAGCGAAAGCGUGGGGAGCAAACAGG